rfam:Ictidomys tridecemlineatus contig111027, whole genome shotgun sequence.
UGUGUUGUGGCUCAGUGGUAGAGUGCUUGUCUAGCACACGUGCGAGGUGCUGGGUUCAAUCCUCAGCACCACAC